rnacentral:rRNA from 1 species
GGGGAAUCUUAGACAAUGGGCGCAAGCCUGAUCUAGCCAUGCCGCGUGAGUGAUGAAGGCCUUAGGGUUGUAAAGCUCUUUCGUGGGGGAAGAUAAUGACUGUACCCCAAGAAGAAGCCCCGGCUAACUCCGUGCCAGCAGCCGCGGUAAUACGGAGGGGGCUAGCGUUGUUCGUAAUUACUGGGCGUAAAGCGCACGUAGGCGGACCGGAAAGUCAGAGGUGAAAUCCCAGGGCUCAACCUUGGAACUGCCUUUGAAACUCCCGGUCUUGAGUUCGAGAGAGGUGAGUGGAAUUCCGAGUGUAGAGGUGAAAUUCGUAGAUAUUCGGAGGAACACCAGUGGCGAAGGCGGCUCACUGGCUCGAUACUGACGCUGAGGGGCGAAAGCGUGGGGAGCAAAC